rnacentral:rRNA from 1 species
GACAUGCAGAGAACUUCCAGAGAUGGAUUGGUGCCUUCGGGAACUCUGACACAGGUGCUGCAUGGCUGUCGUCAGCUCGUGUCGUGAGAUGUUGGGUUAAGUCCCGUAACGAGCGCAACCCUUGUCCUUAGUUACCAGCACGUUAUGGUGGGCACUCUAAGGAGACUGCCGGUGGACAAACCGGAGGAAGGUGGGGAGUGACGUCAAGUCAUCAUGGCCCUUACGGCCUGGGCUACACACGUGCUACAAUGGUCGGUACAAAGGGUUGCCAAGCCGCGAGGUGGAGCUAAUCCCAUAAAACCGAUCGUAGUCCGGAUCGCAGUCUGCAACUCGACUGCGUGAAGUCGGAAUCGCUAGUAAUCGUGAAUCAGAAUGUCACGGUGAAUACGUUCCCGGGCCUU